CGGUGAUGGUCAACCACCCUAAAUAAAUCCCAUUUUUCUCCGAUUGCCUCAUUUUUUGUCUAAAACUUUGAGGGCUCAGUUUUUGCUAUUCUACAAACAUGCAAAGAGAAAGCGACAAACGCCAUCGCUGCAGACACCGGAUUGCAAAUGGACGCCGUACCAGGUUUUAGAGAAGCUCACUUUCAGUUGACCCUUUAUGGUAUUCAGAUUCCCACAAUUAGAAGGCCAAGAAGAGACAUUUUUCAUCUUGCAAAACUAAGCCAUUUUCCUUCAACAAAAAUAGCAAAUACCAAAAUCAUCAAAACAUGUUCUUGAAAAUCCUUUCAACAUGAUAUCUACUGUUCUUUUCUUCAUUAUAUGAAGAAAAAAGACUUAGAAAAAUCACACAAAAUAUUAAAAAAAUGGGUGUGCUGCAUCAACAAUUGCCUCAAAGUUAGCAUUUUUUCCACCAGAGCCAUCAUAUCAAGUUGAUUUAGAUGAACAAACACAAAAAUUGAAACUAUUAGGUGUCCCUCAAAGUGAAAAGGGUGAAGUUUCAAUUCUGCAAACAAAGUUUCAACCAUUUGAGAAAUGAAUGAUCUAAGGAAAUAUAGCAACACUAAACCCAUGAAAACAUGCAAGAGAUUCAAACUUGCACAAAAAAAAAAAAAAAAAAAAAAAAAAAACAGCAGCACAUUCUGACAGUAGUUCAACAGAACAUAAAUGAACAAUGUUACAUUACCAUAAAGAUAAUCUCAAAUUU